rnacentral:rRNA from 1 species
UGGGGAAUAUUGCACAAUGGGCGCAAGCCUGAUGCAGCCAUGCCGCGUGUAUGAAGAAGGCCUUCGGGUUUUAAAGUACUUUCAGUCGGGAGGAAGGUGGUAAGGUUAAUAACCUUGGCAAUUGACGUUACCGACAGAAGAAGCACCGGCUAACUCCGUGCCAGCAGCCGCGGUAAUACGGAGGGUGCAAGCGUUAAUUGGAAUUACUGGGCGGAAAGCGCACGCAGGCGGUUGAUUGAGUCAGAUGUGAAAUCCCCGGGCUUAACCCGGGAAUUGCAUCUGAUACUGGUCAGCUAGAGUCUUGUGGAGGGGGGUAGAAUUCCAUGUGUAGCGGUGAAAUGCGUAGAGAUGUGGAGGAAUACCGGUGGCGAAGGCGGCCCCCUGGACAAAGACUGACGCUCAGGUGCGAAAGCGUGGGGAGCAAACAGG